AGAAAGGGCUUCUGUCAUGAGUGGCACAUGCAGGGCAACUCGAUUGUUCUGUGUGGGGAAUCAACAUCAAGGGAUUUCGGAAGCAUAAUUUUUUUGGUAUUUGGGCAGCACAAAACUCAAGCUCCU
ensembl:snRNA U11 spliceosomal RNA